rnacentral:tRNA from 1 species
GGCUCCAUAGCUCAGUGGUUAGAGCGCUGGUUUUGUAAACCAGAGUUCGAUCCUUGCUGGAGGCUCAGUUCACUGGAGUUU